CAACGAUGGUUGCCAAUGUUCGUUUUUUUAGGGGCUGUUCCUGUUCUAUGUUCUGUUGGCCUUUUUCAUGUUUGUGUGCCUGAUGAUGGCCGCUGGCGCGGCCGAGGGCGUUUGUGUGUAAUGGUGGGGAGUGUGUUUUAUGGAUGCUGCUGUGUGGUGCUGGAAUUACGUUUCUUAGUCUUAUUCUUACGUUUAUCCGCUUCUAUCUGUAUAGCUUCGUGCGUGUAUGGCUGAGUUGGCACCAGGUUGGGUUUUAGAAUUCUCGCUCGGUUCCAUUUCACUUCAAUGUCAUUAGCGUAUACCUCCUGUGAUAGUGCUGUCAUUAAUUUGCCUGUUUUUAAAUCAUUUUGAUGAUCAUUCAACCUCUGGGCUGAAGUUCUUUUUGUGACACCUAUGUAAGAAACAUUUUUCCUAUCUGCUGGAUAU
rnacentral:lncRNA from 1 species